rnacentral:rRNA from 1 species
UACGAAGGGGGCUAGCGUUGUUCGGAUUUACUGGGCGUACAGCGCACGUAGGCGGAUCGAUCAGUCAGGGGUGAAAUCCCAGAGCUCAACUCUAGAACUGCCUUUGAUACUGAAGAUCUUGAGUUCGGGAGAGGUGAGUGGAACUGCGAGUGUAGAGGUGAAAUUCGUAGAUAUUCGCAAGAACACCAGUGGCGAAGGCGGCUCACUGGCCCGGUACUGACGCUGAGGCACGAAAGCGUGGGGAGCAAACAGG